rnacentral:rRNA from 1 species
CGUGUAGGCGGCCUAGCAAGUCGGGCGUGAAAGCCCUCGGCUCAACCGAGGAAGUGCACCCGAAACUGCUGAGCUUGAGUGCCGGAGAGGAUGGCGGAAUUCCCCAAGUAGAGGUGAAAUUCGUAGAUAUGGGGAGGAACACCGGUGGCGAAGGCGGCCAUCUGGACGGUAACUGACGCUGAGACGCGAAAGCGUGGGUAGCAAACA